rnacentral:rRNA from 1 species
AGAGUUUGAUCAUGGCUCAGAACGAACGCUGGCGGCGUGGAUAAGACAUGCAAGUCGAGCGCUGAUUACGGGGUAGCAAUAUUCCGUAGUCGGAGCGGCGCAAGGGUGCGUAACACGUGGGCAAUCUGCCGUGAAGUUUGGAAUAACUCGCUGAAAGGCGAGCUAAUGCCGGAUGUGAAAGCCGGGAGGCAUCUCCUGGUUUUUAAAGCUGGGGACCGUAAGGCCUGGCGCUUCAUGAUGAGCCCGCGGCCUAUCAGCUAGUUGGUGAGGUAACGGCCCACCAAGGCUAAGACGGGUAGCUGGUCUGAGAGGACGACCAGCCACACUGGAACUGAGACACGGUCCAGACACCUACGGGUGGCAGCAGUCGAGAAUUUUUCACAAUGGGCGAAAGCCUGAUGGAGCGACGCCGCGUGGGGGAUGAAUGGCUUCGGCCCGUAAACCCCUGUCAUUUGCGAUCAACCGUUAUUGUUUAAGAGAUGAUAACCUGAUAGUAGCGAAAGAGGAAGGGACGGCUAACUCUGUGCCAGCAGCCGCGGUAAUACAGAGGUCCCAAGCGUUGUUCGGAUUCACUGGGCGUAAAGGGUGCGUAGGUGGCGGGGUAAGUCGGAUGUGAAAUCUCCGAGCUCAACUCGGAAACUGCAUUGGAAACUACUCUGCUCGAGGGUUGGAGGGGGGACUGGAAUACUUGGUGUAGCAGUGAAAUGCGUAGAUAUCAAGUGGAACACCAGUGGCGAAGGCGAGUCCCUGGACAACUCCUGACACUGAGGCACGAAAGCUAGGGGAGCAAACAGGAUUAGAUACCCUAGUAGUCC